CUUUAGGCUCCAAGGCACAUAAUAUGGUGCAAUUAUCUACACACUGGUGAAGCUUUUCUAAAACAAAAGACAGAAUGUUCCUCUCCAAGCCCUUGUCUCCCAUCCAGCUAUACAUAGUUUCAGAGCAGCAGGCGCAGCGCUCAGGCGCUUGACAACGCAAACUGGGAAGGCUAACGAGUUCUAUGAAAUGGACACACCAUUUGUCUUAUCUAGUCUGAUAGAGCCUGCAAGCACUGCUAAACAAUUAAGGACUUGAAAUUAGACUACAGCAUUUGUUACAAAAAUAUAUCUAUAGUCUUUGAUGACUCCACUGAGCAAAAGUUGCGUCAAGCGAGGAAGAGAAUGCUGCCUUCACCUCUUGUGCCCAAAGAUUUGCCAGCUCUGCUUCUCCCAAGUUGGUAGGAAUGAACACACUUAUAGCAGCUUUAUAAAACUUGCGUGUGAAAUGGCUGAAGCAGCAAGACUGCCCUGGUAA
rnacentral:lncRNA from 1 species